GCCCCCAUAGCUCAAUUGGUAGCAGCAGGAUCCUCUUAAGAUCAAGGUUCCAGGUUCGAGUCCUGGUGGGGGCACCA
rnacentral:tRNA from 2 species